AUGAACGCUGGCGGCGUGCCUAAUACAUGCAAGUCGAGCGAACGGACGAGAAGCUUGCUUUUCUGAUGUUAGCGGCGGACGGGUGAGUAACACGUGGAUAACCUACCUAUAAGACUGGGAUAACUUCGGGAAACCGGAGCUAAUACCGGAUAAUAUUUUGAACCGCAUGGUUCAUAAGUGAAAGACGGUCUUGCUGUCACUUAUAGAUGGAUCCGCGCUGCAUUAGCUAGUUGGUAAGGUAACGGCUUACCAAGGCAACGAUGCAUAGCCGACCUGAGAGGGUGAUCGGCCACACUGGAACUGAGACACGGUCCAGACUCCUACGGGAGGCAGCAGUAGGGAAUCUUCCGCAAUGGGCGAAAGCCUGACGGAGCAACGCCGCGUGAGUGAUGAAGGUCUUCGGAUCGUAAAACUCUGUUAUUAGGGAAGAACAUAUGUGUAAGUAACUGUGCACAUCUUGACGGUACCUAAUCAGAAAGCCACGGCUAACUACG
rnacentral:rRNA from 1 species